CAGAGGAGGCAAAACUGAGGAAGUAAAACAAGACUAUACACAUAAGAAUGGACUCCUAAGAAAAAAAAACAGGGAGAACUGAAGACUGAUCUAAAGAAUAAAAUACUGAGUGCGUUUACAUGCACAGCUUAAUUGGACUAAGAUUUUAAUUAGUUUUUUUUCGCCGAAUCUGACUUCUCUCCUUGUCCGCAUAUACAUGCAGCUGAGAAAAUCGGAUUAUUGACAUGAGCGUGUCCUCCUCCCCAAAACUAGGGGGUGAUAUGGGUCUUUACAGUAGUGCUGUUUCUGCUAUGGACAGUCGCGUAUAUGUGACCGUCCGAAUACUUUAAAAUGACGAUUUCUCUCAGGAGGGAAAGCAUAAUGACGCUCUCCUUGGCGUCUUAAUCAGAGUUCUCUGACUGCAAUCAGAGUUCUCAAAAACUUCAGCACUACAGUUGUCUGGUCUUAAUCGGAGUAAGGCGAUAAUUUGGUUUUCUUGGGUCUCAUGUUAACGUACCGACUAGGGACAUGAGGGAAACCGGGUCAGACACAAACUGAAAACUCACAAGACUACAGGGAAACAAGAACAAUAGGGAACAGAAACACUAGGAAAAAAACACUCAAAUAAGCAACAUGUGGGGAAAACUAAAUUAACAAAACAUAUCAUGACACCCAUUUCCCUUUAUGUAUCCAACCCCUGAACCUUUGUAGAAACAGUGACGCCAGAGUUUGACCCUGACAUGACUUAUAGAAGCUAUGGUGUAGUUAUCACCAACUUUCACUGCUCAUGGUCGUUAAUACCACUGGUAAUGAUCUAAACAUCAUAUUUGCAAUGUCUGCAACAACAUCCUGCAUAGAAGUGCUAUUUGCUCUGCAGUGCGGUUUUGAAAGCAUUUCACUCUUUGCAUCAGCUUAGAGAAUUAGGGCCUGUGUCCACUUACACUGGCAGUACCUAUUUCCAUCUUGUCGCUGUGUUUUCAAUGCUUGGCACACUAGAAACCCUAAAGGUUGGCUGUUUCAAAGAGGUUAAAAUAAUAUCAUAUCAAGUAAUACGCUCUUUGGAAGUGCUAAAAAAAACCUUCUUCAACCUGUUGCAACCGAGUCCAAUACAUUGAUUUGAGCUUAAAUCCUCCCUCUGCUGAGCAGAUAUCCAAUUACAGCCUCCAGGGAGGCCAAUACGUUUUCAUUGGGAGUGGUGCUGCGCAUACCCCCUUGAGAUCCCCCCUCCUUAUGCUUCUUUUAUUGAUCAGCUACCCUGUAUCACUUCUAAAAACCAACAGCCUGAAUAUAGCACCAUCUCACUCUCAUUUAAAAGGAAUCAUUUAAAGAGAGUCCUUUAUCUUCCCCCCCGAGGUUUCAUCAUCAGGAUUUGUAUUUAUCUAUGGAUGAAACCACCCACAUUGAUUAAAGCUUCAGUCCCCGACGUCAGACUCAAUAAUACAGUUCUGAUUUACGUCAACAGUUAGCCUUGUUCACAUUUUGAUCAUUUAUUUAUCAGGUUUGCGAGCUUUUGGGGAAUGUGGCAGAAAUAGAAAAGAAUAAAAGAUCAGAAACCUUUUUUUGUGCUGAUUGUCAGGAGUGAGGAGCUAAAAAGGAGAAAAAAAGAGAGAGAGAAAGAAAAGGGUUGUCAGUGUUUUUCUGAGAAAGGAAGGAAAGGGAGGGCAGGCGGUGUACUUUAAAAUUCCGGGAGAAGGAAUCCAAAUCUCACUGGAGUAAAUUGAGAAAGUUGUGUCCUAUUUUGCAGCCUGACAGUAAUGUAUUGUCUAAGGGGAGGAGGGAGAAAACGCAUACUGGAAUAACUUGUGCCAAUGUGAGUGGAUUCCAAGCAUGCAUACAGGGAGGCUGAUUUUAUUCAGCGAAGGUAAGCAGUAAAAAAAUCCCCCACGCAGGUUGAGGAGGUCUCAAAUUGUUUGCGGCAACCUCAUAAAGGAUGGGAAAUUGUGUUGGUUUUGCAGCUCAAGGUGAAGGACGAGGUUUGGUUGGAGCUGCCAUGCACUGCCAAAAGCAAUCGCCUUUAUCAUAUUGAUCUCCUGUGGCGUUUGCACCGGGGAUUACCAUGCAAAAACAAGAUUAUGCUAACAAAACAUGUGACUGUAAAUCGUCGGCUUCUUUUCAACACCACUAAAUAGAUCAUGACCUUAUUGCCAUCUUGUUUGGAGCCACCUCCCCUCUCUCAGUGAAAAAUGGUUUCAUUUCAUGCGAAUGCUGCGUACCCGAGCCGCUAUUCAAACAUCUGAAAUUAGAAUUAAUUUCAAUUAAUGCGGAUGUAUUUCCUCAGCCAUGGACAGAGUUAUCAUCUUGAUUAAUUUACCCGUUUCAGCGACUGAAUCGUAUCAUUUUCAGCCGAGUUAAAAUAAAAGAAUAAUGGGAAGCCACUUUUUGACUCCUGCUUCAUUUCUCCUGGCUGUUGCCUCCCAAUUCAAGCAAGAUAAAGCCAUCCUUUAUGAUAGAAUCAACCCCGUGGAAACAUAAAACACAACAGAGAAAAACACCCAGGCUAAAGAAACCCAACGAGAGCGGCGGGCAGGGGCAAUAGGUUUGCCGGAAAAUGUUCAAUGGACUAUUGAAUAGUGUCAUUAGGAGUGGAUUGCGCUAUUUGCAGUGCUUCAAAGCCAGAGACUUGCUUUCAGGGUCAGGGGAUAAGUGCGACCGGGCUCAAAGAAGUGUUUGGAAGAGAAGAGGAGGAGUGCUAUUUAGGUAUUAUGGUGAACUAUUUUACUGGGAGGAAGAUUAUUGUAUGUUGGCUUCCGUUCUUUGAGGCCUUUCGUAGCAGGAGAGGAGACAUCAAGCUGUUUUCAUGCCCUAUUUUACUUCCUUUUGUCCUUUUCUUUCUCUCUGUGUGCCGGGAUGAAGAAAUGAAAAAACAAACCGCAGGCAUAAUUAAACUCCGCCACGUUGCGUCUUAAGGGGAAUACAGUUGAGUCCAAUCCGAUUGUGAUUAAAAAUGGAGAAAAGAUACACGGAUGACAAACAAGCUCCCUGGAGUUUAAGUGGCGCACGCUGCUUUCAGUGAUGUCCACAUUGUUUUUCCGUGUGGCUUAAUCAAAUGUCAGCGGCAAAGCUUGGGGAUUUGUCGAACAAAAAAAACAUCCUCAGCUGAGGAUUUGGGAAAUACUUGACUAAAUUUACACAUCCUGCUCCUGCAAUACAGCUGUGGGGAGGGAAAAAAAGACAUCAACAGUGAGUCAUUUUCUGACUUGUAAAUGGAAAUUCAAAAGCAGACAAAACAGCAGGACACUUAAUGGAAACUUAUUUCUAUCAGUUCAAAUCAUAAACUCUUCAAACGGCAUUAAAACAAACGUUCAACCCGCAGACUCUUCAGACCGACCACAUCUGAAGUAGUAAAUUAGUUUUUGAUUUAUUUUGUUUUUGCUCAGGGGGAUUCGACUUUGACGGUUAAGUGUUGCUUCUAGUAUCUUUUAUCUGCCGAACACUAAAGAGUCUUCAAAACACAAUAAAAUCAAAGAUUCUCCCUUUCAACAAUCAUUCAGUCCCAUUUGCAGAAGUGGAAGCGGCAUCACAAACUUCAAACGUAUUGUUUUUCUUAAAGAUAACGUUUCUUCUCUUCCAAAAAGGACUAAAAAGUGGUGCUUACAGCUCAGCUCUUCAAUGACAAAGAUAUCUUUCAGUCAUAUUCCAACCGAAAUUCCAAUUUAAGUGGCUCUCAGACGUCGGAUCAUAUUUCGUGCAAAUUGUAAAAGGGAUUUGAGUCGAGAACAGUUUAAACAAAUCCACAUACAUACUGAGAAAACCGUUUUUCCAUAUGCAUCACAUCACUGCACUGCUCAGUAUCUCUUAGAAGUGCGCCAUGUUGAGCUGACAGUUGUUUGGUAACCAUCCACGCACGCUCCAUCACAUGACUGACUUCAACAUUGUUUGCUAUUAGGCUUAUAAAAUGUCAGCGGCAAUGUUGUAGGAUUUGGAAAACGCUGCCCGUGUCGGAGAACCUUUAACCGCAGAAUGGCUUUAUAUUAUAAUCCUCUGAAGUCUUGUUUACUAUACAACCAAAGCCCCCUCCUCCAAAUGGGUGCAGCCGCUCUGAAUGCUGCUCUUCACUCCUCGUCACAACAGCCUCUUCAGAAAAUUGCAGUUGCAAAGUAUGUAAUUAGAAUAAUUGGCGAUGAACAGCAGGCAACAUAAAUGUUCGACAAUGUAUGCACUGUUUGGAUGUAUAUUAUUUUAUCAACUCAGUCCGCCCUGACUGUAAAGAUGCUGAUGCUGCAACUUGCAAAUGCCACAAACAGCGAGGAGAAGGUCAGGAGGCUUUCAAACGCUCACGGGUGACGGCGCACCGUAUGUUACAGACUCAUACAGCAAAUGAAAAGGAGACAGGAAGAAGCAAAGCAUGUAAUGAACAUUAUUAAAUUCAUCAACAUUAUUAAAAACGGAUGUAGUAAGGAUUCCCUGACUGUGAGGCCAACAGAUGUAGAGCUCCCCCUUUAGUUAUAAAACUAAAAUGGAACUAAAAUUCAAAAACAUCACAAAACUUUUUUUUUUUUUUCUUUUUUCCACAAGUAAAACCUGGGCCUUUUUUUUUCUCCAUUAAAUUGACAAGAACCAAGUGGUGUUACAUGAUUGGAAAUGAUUUCUCUGGUGCUUUUUGGCAUCCAGCUUGCCUCAAAAAUCAGAGGAUAAACUUUCUGAAAAAUGCUGGACUUGGGUUCAGUUUCACCAACCAAGGAUGCCAAAUCAAAAGUUUCACAGAGGAGCUUCAAAAUACUCAAAAAUAUCACAUUUUGCAGCUGUUUUUACCACUUGAGAGUAAAUUGCUGCACAGCAAUGGAACGCAGGUCCUAGCAUUGUGACCACUUUUGAUUUAUGUCACUCUAAGGGACCAUUAUCAACAUCAACCAAAAGUUCCUUACAAGAGCUUUGAAGUACCCUGAAAUUAUCAUACAUACUUGUCCAAAAUGAAGCUUUUUUGCCUCUUCAUUGUAACCUUGACUUGGCCGUUGAACAUUGGCAUUGGGAGCAUUGGGACCUAGCUUGCUGGCUCGCACAGUGUCUUUGAUCGGUCAUACAUCUGUCUCAAAGUGGAGUUGCUUUUG